rnacentral:snRNA from 1 species
UAGGAGGGCGCGGCGGUCGCUG